rnacentral:rRNA from 1 species
UGGGGAAUAUUUCACAAUGGGCGCAAGCCUGAUGCAGCCAUGCCGCGUGUGUGAAGAAGGCCUUCGGGUUGUAAAGCACUUUCAGCGGGGAGUAAGGCGGUGAGGUUAAUAACCUCACCGAUUGACGUUACCCGCAGAAGAAGCACCGGCCAACUCCGUGCCAGCAGCCGCGGUAAUACGGAGGGUGCAAGCGUUAAACGGAAUUACUGGGCGUAAAGCGCACGCAGGCGGUCUGUCAAGUCGGAUGUGAAAUCCCCGGGCUCAACCUGGGAACUGCAUUCGAAACUGGCAGGCUUGAGUCUUGUAGAGGGGGGUAGAAUUCCAGGUGUAGCGGUGAAAUGGGUAGGAAUCUGGAGGAAUACCGGUGGCGAAGGCGGCCCCCUGGACAAAGACUGACGCUCAGGUGCGAAAGCGUGGGGAGCAAACGGG